GACGAACGCUGGCGGCGUGCUUAACACAUGCAACUCGAACGGAAAGACCCUGCUUUUGUGGGGUGCUCGAGUGGCGAACGGGUGAGUAACACGUGAGUAACCUGCCCUUGACUUUGGGAUAACUUCAGGAAACUGGGGCUAAUACCGGAUAGGAGCUCCUGCUGCAUGGUGGGGGUUGGAAAGUUUCGGCGGUUGGGGAUGGACUCGCGGCUUAUCAGCUUGUUGGUGGGGUAGUGGCUUACCAAGGCUUUGACGGGUAGCCGGCCUGAGAGGGUGACCGGCCACAUUGGGACUGAGAUACGGCCCAGACUCCUACGGGAGGCAGCAGUGGGGAAUAUUGCACAAUGGGCGGAAGCCUGAUGCAGCAACGCCGCGUGCGGGAUGACGGCCUUCGGGUUGUAAACCGCUUUCGCCUGUGACGAAGCGUGAGUGACGGUAAUGGGUAAAGAAGCACCGGCUAACUACGUG
rnacentral:rRNA from 1 species